UCCAGAGGAAGGCUCGUCCGCUCUGGGUUAGUCGGGUCCUAAGCUGAGGCCGACAGGCGUAGGCGAUGGAUAACAGGUUGAUAUUCCUGUACCACCUAUAAUCGUUUUAAUCGAUGGGGGGACGCAGUAGGAUAGGCGAAGCGUGCGAUUGGAUUGCACGUCUAAGCAGUAAGGCUGAGUAUUAGGCAAAUCCGGUACUCGUUAAGGCUGAGCUGUGAUGGGGAGAAGACAUUGUGUCUUCGAGUCGUUGAUUUCACACUGCCGAGAAAAGCCUCUAGAUAGAAAAUAGGUGCCCGUACCGCAAACCGACACAGGUAGUCAAGAUGAGAAUUCUAAGGUGAGCGAGCGAACUCUCGUUAAGGAACUCGGCAAAAUGACCCCGUAACUUCGGGAGAAGGGGUGCUCUUUAGGGUUAACGCCCAGAAGAGCCGCAGUGAAUAGGCCCAAGCGACUGUUUAUCAAAAACACAGGUCUCUGCUAAACCGUAAGGUGAUGUAUAGGGGCUGACGCCUGCCCGGUGCUGGAAGGUUAAGAGGAGUGGUUAGCUUCUGCGAAGCUACGAAUCGAAGCCCCAGUAAACGGCGGCCGUAACUAUAACGGUCCUAAGGUAGCGAAAUUCCUUGUCGGGUAAGUUCCGACCCGCACGAAAGGCGUAACGAUUUGGGCACUGUCUCAACGAGAGACUCGGUGAAAUCAUAGUACCUGUGAAGAUGCAGGUUACCCGCGACAGGACGGAAAGACCCCGUGGAGCUUUACUGUAGCCUGAUAUUGAAAUUCGGCACAGCUUGUACAGGAUAGGUAGGAGCCUUUGAAACGUGAGCGCUAGCUUACGUGGAGGCGCUGGUGGGAUACUACCCUAGCUGUGUUGGCUUUCUAACCCGCACCACUUAUCGUGGUGGGAGACAGUGUCAGGCGGGCAGUUUGACUGGGGCGGUCGCCUCCUAAAAGGUAACGGAGGCGCUCAAAGGUUCCCUCAGAAUGGUUGGAAAUCAUUCAUAGAGUGUAAAGGCAUAAGGGAGCUUGACUGCGAGACCUACAAGUCGAGCAGGGUCGAAAGACGGACUUAGUGAUCCGGUGGUUCCGCAUGGAAGGGCCAUCGCUCAACGGAUAAAAGCUACCCCGGGGAUAACAGGCUUAUCUCCCCCAAGAGUUCACAUCGACGGGGAGGUUUGGCACCUCGAUGUCGGCUCAUCGCAUCCUGGGGCUGUAGUCGGUCCCAAGGGUUGGGCUGUUCGCCCAUUAAAGCGGUACGCGAGCUGGGUUCAGAACGUCGUGAGACAGUUCGGUCCCUAUCCGUCGUGGGCGUAGGAAAUUUGAGAGGAGCUGUCCUUAGUACGAGAGGACCGGGAUGGACAUACCUCUGGUGUACCAGUUGUCGUGCCAACGGCAUAGCUGGGUAGCUAUGUGUGGACGGGAUAAGUGCUGAAAGCAUCUAAGCAUGAAGCCCCCCUCAAGAUGAGAUUUCCCAACUUCGGUUAUAAGAUCCCUCAAAGAUGAUGAGGUUAAUAGGUUCGAGGUGGAAGCAUGGUGACAUGUGGAGCUGACGAAUACUAAUCGAUCGAAGACUUAAUCAA
rnacentral:rRNA from 1 species